rnacentral:rRNA from 1 species
AGAGUUUGAUCCUGGCUCAGGAUGAACGCUGGCGGCGUGCCUAAUACAUGCAAGUCGAACGAGAAUCUCUUGUAUUCGUACGAGAAAAUUCUAGUGGCGAACGGGUGAGUAACGCGUUGGUGACCUGCCCCGAAGUGGGUGAUAACAGACCGAAAGGUUUGCUAAUACCCCAUGUGCUUAUUUGGGUUAGAGGCCUAAUAAGUAAAGGUUUUAAUCGCUUCGGGAGGGGCCUGCGUCCCAUCAGCUAGUAGGUAAGGUAAUGGCUUACCAAGGCUAUGACGGGUAGGGGACCUGAGAGGGUGACCCCCCACACUGGUACUGAAACACGGACCAGACACCUACGGGUGGCAGCAGUAGGGAAUAUUGGACAAUGGGCGAAAGCCUGAUCCAGCAACGCCGCGUGCGGGAUGACGGCCUUCGGGUUGUAAACCGCUUUUCUGAGGGAAGAGAAAGGACUGUACCUCAGGAAUAAGUCUCGGCUAACUACGUGCCAGCAGCCGCGGUAACACGUAGGAGGCAAGCGUUAUCCGGAUUUACUGGGCGUAAAGCGCGUGCAGGCGGUUUGGUAAGUUGGAUGUGAAAUCUCCCGGCCUAACUGGGAGGUGUCGUUCAAAACUGCCAGGCUAGAGGACGGUAGAGGAAGGUGGAAUUCUCGGUGUAGUGGUGAAAUGCGUAGAUAUCGAGAGGAACACCAGUGGCGAAGGCGGCCUUCUGGGCCGUUCCUGACGCUCAGACGCGAAAGCGUGGGUAGCGAACGGGAUUAGAAACCCCGGUAGUCCACGCUGUAAACGAUGUGAACUUGGUGUUGGUGGCGUAAAAACCAUCAGUGCCGUAGCUAACGCGAUAAGUUCACCGCCUGGGGACUACGAUCGCAAGAUUAAAACUCAAAGGAAUUGACGGGGACCCGCACAAGCAGCGGAGCGUGUGGUCUAAUUCGAGCUACGCGAAGAACCUUACCUGGGCUUGACAUAUAGGUGAAGGGAUCCGAAAGGUGACCGUCCCUCGGGACGCUUAUACAGGUGCUGCAUGGCUGUCGUCAGCUCGUGUCGUGAGAUGUCCGGUUAAGUCCGGUAACGAGCGCAACCCUCGCCGUAUGUUACAAGUGUCAUACGGGACUGCCGGUAUAAAACCGGAGGAAGGUGAGGAUGACGUCAAGUCAGCAUGGCCUUUAUGCCCAGGGCUACACACACGCUACAAUGGUCGGUACAAUAGGUUGCAAAGCCGCGAGGUGGAGCCAAUCCCCAAAGCCGAUCUCAGUUCGGAUUGCAGGCUGCAACUCGCCUGCAUGAAGUCGGAGUUGCUAGUAACCGCGCGUCAGCACAGUGCGGUGAAUACGUUCCCGGGUCUUGUACACACCGCCCGUCACGUCAUGGGAGCUGGUAACACCUAAAGUCGAUAGCCUAACCCUAACGGGAGGGCGUUGCCUAGGGUGGGACUGGUGACUGGGACGAAGUCGUAACAAGGUA